AGUGAACGCUGGCGGCGUGCUUAACACAUGCAAGUCGAGCGAGAACGGAUUAUAGCUUGCUAUAAUUGUCAGCUAAGUGGCGCACGGGUGAGUAAUGUAUAGGUAAUAUGCCUCUUACUAAGGGAUAACAAAUGGAAACGUUUGCUAAUACCUUAUACUCCUUAUUAACAUAAGUUAACAAGGGAAAGAUUUAUUGGUAAGAGAUUAGCCUGUAUUGUAUCAGUUAGUUGGUGGGGUAAUGGCUUACCAAGACUAUGACACAUAACUGGUUUGAGAGGAUGAUCAGUCACACUGGAACUGAGACACGGUCCAGACUCCUACGGGAGGCAGCAGUGGGGAAUAUUGCACAAUGGACGAAAGUCUGAUGCAGCAACGCCGCGUGGAGGAUGACACAUUUCGGUGCGUAAACUCCUUUUAUAUGAGAAGAUAAUGACGGUAUUAUAUGAAUAAGCACCGGCUAACUCCGUGCCAGCCGCCGCCGUAA
rnacentral:rRNA from 1 species